rnacentral:lncRNA from 1 species
GGACUUGGUUGGCAAGCACUGCUAAUCUGGACUUAGUUGUGUUUCUAGAAAUUGACUGGUGUUCUCUAUUCUAGGCUGGGCCUGACUGGGGCACCUUAUUUGAAGACAGUUCUUCUCCAAAUGGCUACUACCUUCCUCCUAAGAUAAACAGAACAGCCUAGGCAUGUUCUUCUUUUAAUAACUAUAGAAGCACUUACCUAAAACAGCUGUGUGAUCCUCCUGAAAAUCAGAAGUCACAAUUUGAGUGCAGGAAAAAGGGGGCACUCUUUGGAUGAUGAAGCCCAGAUCAUAAAAACAACAAUGAAAUGAUAAGGAGUAUCU